rnacentral:rRNA from 1 species
UACGUAGGGGGCAAGCGUUGUCCGGAAUCAUUGGGCGUAAAGCGCGUGUAGGCGGCCCGGUAAGUCCGCUGUGAAAGUCGGGGGGCUCAACCCUCGAAUGCCGGUGGAUACUGUCGGGCUAGAGUGCGGGAGAGGCGAGUGGAAUUCCUGGUGUAGCGGUGAAAUGCGCAGAUAUCAGGAGGAACACCAAUUGCGAAGGCAGCUCGCUGGAACGUAACUGACGCUGGAGAACGCGAAAGCGUGGGGAGCAAACAGG